UACAGAGGUCUCAAGCGUUGUUCGGAUUCAUUGGGCGUAAAGGGUGUGUAGGUGGCGCCGUAAGUCAGGUGUGAAAUCUCGGGGCUUAACUCCGAAACUGCAUUUGAUACUGCGGUGCUUGAGGACUGGAGAGGAGACUGGAAUUUAUGGUGUAGCAGUGAAAUGCGUAGAUAUCGUAAGGAAGACCAGUGGCGAAGGCGAGUCUCUGGACAGUUACUGACACUGAGGCACGAAGGCCAGGGGAGCAAACGGG
rnacentral:rRNA from 1 species